rnacentral:rRNA from 1 species
GACGAACGCUGGCGGCGUGCUUAACACAUGCAAGUCGAACGAAGUGGCGAACGGGUGAGUAACGCGUAAUCAACCUGCCCUUCAGAGGGGGACAACAGUUGGAAACGACUGCUAAUACAGCAUACUGAAGGAGGGGAUUGCGUCUGAUUAGCUAGUGGGAGGGAUAACGGCCCACCAAGGCGAUGAUCAGUAGCCGGUCGGAGAGGAUGAAUGGCCACAUUGGGACUGAGACACGGCCCAGACUCCUACGGGAGGCAGCAGUGGGGAAUCUUCCGCAAUGGACGCAAGUCUGACGGAGCAACGCCGCGUGAGUGAUGACGGCCUUCGGGUUGUAAAGCUCUGUUAAUCGGGACGCGGUACCGGAAUAGAAGGCCACGGCUAACUACGUGCCAGCAGCCGCGGUAAUUC